rnacentral:rRNA from 1 species
AUACGUAGGGGGCGAGCGUUGUCCGGAAUGAUUGGGCGUAAAGGGCGCGUAGGCGGCGCGGUAAGUCUGGAGUGAAAGUCCUGCUUUCAAGGUGGGAAUUGCUUUGGAUCCUGCCGCGCUUGAGUGCAGGAGAGGUUAUCGGAAUUCCCGGGGUAGCGGUGAAAUGCGUAGAGAUCGGGAGGAACACCAGUGGCGAAGGCGGGUAACCGGACUGCAACUGACGCUGAGGCGCGAAAGUGUGGGGAGCAAACAGGAUUAGAUACCCUGGUAGUCCACACUGUAAACGAUGAAUGCUAGGUGUAAGAGGUAUCGACCCCUUUUGUGCCGGAGUCAACACAAUAAGCAUUCCGCCUGGGGAGUACGGCCGCAAGGUUGAAACUCAAAGGAAUUGACGGGG